UACGGAGGGGGCUAGCGUUGUUCGGAAUUACUGGGCGUAAAGCGCGCGUAGGCGGCUUUGUAAGUCAGAGGUGAAAGCCUGGAGCUCAACUCCAGAACUGCCUUUGAAACUACAUCGCUAGAAUCAUGGAGAGGUUAGUGGAAUUCCGAGUGUAGAGGUGAAAUUCGUAGAUAUUCGGAAGAACACCAGUGGCGAAGGCGACUAACUGGACAUGUAUUGACGCUGAGGUGCGAAAGCGUGGGGAGCGAACAGG
rnacentral:rRNA from 1 species